rnacentral:rRNA from 1 species
UACGUAGGGGGCAAGCGUUGUCCGGAAUCAUUGGGCGUAAGCGCGUGUAGGCGGCUUGGUAAGUCUGCUCUGAAAGCCCGGGGCUCAACCCUGGGAGGCGGGUGGAUACUGCUGAGCUCGAGUCCGGAAGAGGCGAGUGGAAUUCCUGGUGUAGCGGUGAAAUGCGCAGAUAUCAGGAGGAACACCAAUGGCGAAGGCAGCUCGCUGGGACGGUAGCUGACGCUGAGACGCGAAGCGUGGGGAGCAAACAGG